CAGCAUGAUGGGGACAUUUUCUGAUGAGAUCCUUUAAUCUUUCCCACGAUUCAUGGAACUGCUCACUAUCGUGCUGUGAAAAGCUAGUGAGAGCUCGCCUUAUCUG
rnacentral:snoRNA from 1 species